GACGAACGCUGGCGGCGUGCUUAACACAUGCCAGUCGAACGGAAAGGCCCUGUUCUUGCUGGGGGCUCGAGUGGCGAACGGGUGAGUAACACGUGAGUAACCUGCCCUUGACUUUGGGAUAACUUCAGGAAACUGUGGCUAAUACCUGAUAGGAGCUCCUGCUGCAUGGUGGGGGUUGGAAAGUUUCGGCGGUUGGGGAUGGACUCGCGGGUUAUUAGCUUGUUGGUGGGGUAGUGGCUUACCAAGGCUUUGACGGGUAGCCGGCCUGAGAGGGUGACCGGCGACAAGGGGACUGAGGGACGGACCAGACUGCUACGGGAGGCAGCAGUGGGAAAUAUUGCACAGUGGGCGGAAGCCUGAUGCAAAAACGCCGCGUGCGGAAUGACGGCCUUCGGGUUGUGAACCGCUUUCGCCUGUGACGAAGCGUGAGUGACGGUAAUGGGUGAAGAAGCACCGGCUAACUACGUG
rnacentral:rRNA from 1 species